AUUGAACGCUGGCGGCAGGCCUAACACAUGCAAGUCGAGCGGAUGAAGGGAGCUUGCUCCUGGAUUCAGCGGCGGACGGGUGAGUAAUGCCUAGGAAUCUGCCUGGUAGUGGGGGAUAACGUCCGGAAACGGGCGCUAAUACCGCAUACGUCCUGAGGGAGAAAGUGGGGGAUCUUCGGACCUCACGCUAUCAGAUGAGCCUAGGUCGGAUUAGCUAGUUGGUGGGGUAAAGGCCCACCAAGGCGACGAUCCGUAACUGGUCUGAGAGGAUGAUCAGUCACACUGGAACUGAGACACGGUCCAGACUCCUACGGGAGGCAGCUGUGGGGAAUAUUGGACAAUGGGCGAAAGCCUGAUCCAGCCAUGCCGCGUGUGUGAAGAAGGUCUUCGGAUUGUAAAGCACUUUAAGUUGGGAGGAAGGGCAGUAAGUUAAUACCUUGCUGUUUUGACGUUACCAACAGAAUAAGCACCGGCUAACUUCGUG
rnacentral:rRNA from 1 species